rnacentral:rRNA from 1 species
AGACCCGAAACCCGGUGAUCUAGCCAUGGGCAGGUUGAAGGUUGGGUAACACUAACUGGAGGACCGAACCGACUAAUGUUGAAAAAUUAGCGGAUGACCUGUGGCUGGGGGUGAAAGGCCAAUCAAACCGGGAGAUAGCUGGUUCUCCCCGAAAGCUAUUUAGGUAGCGCCUCGUGAAUUCAUCUCCGGGGGUAGAGCACUGUUUCGGCUAGGGGGCCAUCCCGGCUUACCAACCCGAUGCAAACUGCGAAUACCGGAGAAUGUUAUCACGGGAGACACACGGCGGGUGCUAACGUCCGUCGUGAAGAGGGAAACAACCCAGACCGCCAGCUAAGGUCCCAAAGUCAUGGUUAAGUGGGAAACGAUGUGGGAAGGCCCAGACAGCCAGGAUGUUGGCUUAGAAGCAGCCAUCAUUUAAAGAAAGCGUAAUAGCUCACUGGUCGAGUCGGCCUGCGCGGAAGAUGUAACGGGGCUAAACCAUGCACCGAAGCUGCGGCAGCGACACUGUGUGUUGUUGGGUAGGGGAGCGUUCUGUAAGCCUGCGAAGGUGGCCUGUGAG